AACGAACGCUGGCGGCAUGCCUAACACAUGCAAGUCGAACGGGAUCCUAGCUUGCUAGGUGAGAGUGGCGGACGGGUGAGUAACACGUGGGAAUCUGCCUUUUGGUUCGGGAUAACCGCGGGAAACUGCGGCUAAUACCGAAUGCCCUCGUGAGAGGAAAGAUUUAUCGCCAGAAGAGGAGCCCGCGUCCGAUUAGGUAGUUGGUGGGGUAAAGGCCUACCAAGCCGACGAUCGGUAGCUGGUCUGAGAGGAUGAUCAGCCACACUGGGACUGAGAUACGGCCCAGACUCCUACGGGAGGCAGCAGUGGGGAAUAUUGGACAAUGGGGCAACCCUGAUCCAGCAAUGCCGCGUGAGUGAUGAGGGCCUUAGGGUUGUAAAGCUCUUUACCCGGGAUGAUAAUGACAGUACCGGGAGAUAAGCCCCGGCUAACUCCGUGCCAGCAGCCGCGGU
rnacentral:rRNA from 1 species